rnacentral:rRNA from 1 species
UCGGGAAUUUUGGGCAAUGGGCGAAAGCCUGACCCAGCAACGCCGCGUGUGGGAUGAAGUAUUUCGGUAUGUAAACCUCGAAAGAAUGGGAAGAAUAAAUGACGGUACCAUUUAUAAGCUCCGGCUAACUACGUGCCAGCAGCCGCGGUAAUACGUAGGGAGCAAGCGUUGUUCGGAUUUACUGGGCGUAAAGGGCGCGUAGGCGGCGCGGUAAGUCACUUGUGAAAUCUCUGAGCUUAACUCAGAACGGCCAAGUGAUACUGCUGUGCUAGAGUGCGGAAGAGGCAACCGGAAUUCUUGGUGUAGCGGUGAAAUGCGUAGAUAUCAAGAGGAACACCUGAGGCGAAGGCGGGUUGCUGGGCCGACACUGACGCUGAUGCGCGAAAGCCAGGGGAGCAAACG